CACAAACAAUAUGCGUAUUUAUUUUGUCUAACGGUGGACAGGUGACCGGCGGUUGGAAGGGAAGAUGGAGGUGGCCAAAGUGGCAGGCCUGGUUACGUCGACCUCCAUCACUUUGGACAGCAGCUGACGCGGCCAACAUAGUCUCGGGUUUCCAUACUUCGAUUCAGUCGCGUAACCAGAGAUAAUACCUCAACAUAAUUUUAAUUCCUCAGGUAUUGUACUUCUCACAUAUCAGUCGUUGAAAUUCGUGAUUCAUGAGCGAUACUGUAAAAACAGUGACACAUCUUGAAAGUUUAAUAACGUGUUUUUACAUCAGUGUAUGACACAGUACUUUCAGUUGAGUUCGCAACGGAGUGUUGGGCAGUGAGGAAGUGUGUGUGUGAGCUACAGAGAUCCUCUGUCACUUGCGAAAUUCCACCUGGACAGCAUUGUUCAAUUCCGACGCCUUGCGUUGGCGUGUGUCGACCGUAGUCCAGCGAGAUCAGAACAGAAAAACAAGGAAUACAGUCUCCUACUGUGGUCCACUGAAAGAACAUAAGCCCGCCAUCAGAAGCCAAAGGCAUGGGCGAGUUUCCUCGACAUCUUCACGGAAGACAAGCGAUGUUCUUCGUGAACUAGUCUGGGACGAUCUGCCUCUUCCUCCAAAGAGACCAGACUUGUCGCCAUGUGACUUUCAUUUGUUUCGACCCUUUUGGAGCACCUGGGAGGAUAAUGGUUCAAAACCAACAAAGUGGCGUGAUUUGGUUGCGCAGUCACCAAAAGAGUUGUUCGCUGCUGGAAUCAGGAAGUUACCCGAAAGUGGACCAGUUGUAUUGUGAAGCACAGGCAAUGUAAAAAGCGUGAACGCUGACGUCUGGAAAAAUAAAAGUCCGGGUCAAAUUUGAA